UCAGCAUCUUCGGGCAAAGGCGGGCUAAGAUCAAGUGUAGUAUCUGUUCUUAUCAGUUUAAUAUCUGAUGGGUCCUCUACACGGGGACCAUAUAUCAUCAUUAACAUUUAACGUUGAAAAUAAAAUCCACACGUCCUGUUCCUUCAGUGUCGCUUUCUGCAGGGCUGAAAUGAAACUCCA
rnacentral:snRNA from 1 species